rnacentral:RNase_P_RNA from 1 species
CGAGUUGGCCAGACAGUUGCCGCGUACGCAAGUACGGGGAGGAAAGUCCGGGCUUCAAAGAGCGGGGUACCAGGUAACGCCUGGGCGGUGUGAACCGACGACAAGUGCAACAGAGAGGAAACCGCCAUUUUGGCUUAGGCUAAAGAUGGUAAGGGUGAAAGGGUGCGGUAAGAGCGCACCGUGCGGCUAGCAAUAGUCCGUAGCAAGGUAAACUCUACCCGAAGCAAGACCAAAUAGGGUUCCGCAUGGCGCUGCUCGCGUUGGAACCGGGUAGGUUGCUUGAGCCUGUGAGCGAUUGCAGGCCUAGAUGAAUAACUGUCCACGACAGGACCCGGCUUAUCGGCCAACUCACCUC